GACGAACGCUGGCGGCGUGCCUAAUGAAUGCGAGUCGAACGAGAACCAGAAAAUGCGUUCGCGCAAUUUCUGGGGAGAGUGGCGAACGGGUGAGUAACACGUGGGCAACCUGCCUUCAAGACGGGGAUAACGGAGGGAAACCUCCCCUAAUACCCGAUAUGCUGUCACCGCAUAAGUGAGUGACAGGAAAGCUUUUGCGCUUGGAGAUGGGCCUGCGGCCGAUUAGCUUGUUGGUGAGGUAAUGGCUCACCAAGGCGACCAUCGGUAGCCGACCUGAGAGGGUGACCGGCCACACUGGGACUGAGACAUGGUCCAGACUCCUACGGGAGUUAGCAUCAGGGGAUCUUGCGCAAUGGGCGAAAGCCUGACGCAGCGACGCCGCGUGGGUGAUGAAGGUCUGCGGAUCGUAAAGCCCUGUCAGGAGGGAAGAAGCUCUGACAGUACCUCCAGAGGAAGCCCCGGCUAACUACGUGCCAGCAGCCGCGGUAAAACGUAGGGGGCUAGCGUUGUCCGGAAUUACUGGGCGUAAAGCGCGCGCAGGCGGUCUAGUAAGCAGUGGGUGAAAUUCCGGGGCUCAACCCCGGAACUGCUCGCUGAACUGCUAGACUAGAGUACGGGAGAGGGCAGUGGAAUUCCUGGUGUAGCGGUGGAAUGCGUAAAUAUCAGGAAGAACACCCGUGGCGAAGCUGCUGCCUGGAACGU
rnacentral:rRNA from 1 species